UGGGGAAUAUUGCACAAUGGGCGAAAGCCUGAUGCAGCAACGCCGCGUGAGUGAUGAAGGCCUUCGGGUUGUAAAGCUCUGUCUUUUGGGACGAUAAUGACGGUACCAAAGGAGGAAGCCACGGCUAACUACGUGCCAGCAGCCGCGGUAAUACGUAGGUGGCAAGCGUUGUCCGGAUUUACUGGGCGUAAAGGAUGCGUAGGCGGAUUUUUAAGUGAGAUGUGAAAACCCUAAGCUUAACUUGGGGACUGCAUUUCAUACUGGAAAUCUAGAGUGCGGGAGAGGAGAAUGGAAUUCCUAGUGUAGCGGUGAAAUGCGUAGAGAUUAGGAAGAACACCAGUGGCGAAGGCGAUUCUCUGGACCGUAACUGACGCUGAGGCAUGAAAGCGUGAGUAGCAAACAGGAUUAGAUACCCUGGUAGUCCACGCCGUAAACGAUGAGUACUAGGUGUAGGAGGUAUCGACCCCUUCUGUGCCGCAGUUAACACAAUAAGUACUCCGCCUGGGAAGUACGAUCGCAAGAUUAAAACUCAAAUGAAUUGAC
rnacentral:rRNA from 1 species